rnacentral:tRNA from 2 species
GGAGCCAUAGCCAAGUGGUAAGGCACAGGUCUGCAACACCUCCAUCGUCGGUUCAAAUCCGACUGGCUCCUCCA